ensembl:snoRNA SNORA70 Small nucleolar RNA SNORA70
CUGCAGCCCAUUCAGCCCACCGAGCCCCUCCCCUCGUGGGGGUCCUCCGGUCAGUGGUUCAGUGGUGGCAAACAGCAGCCUUCUGGGUAGUGAGCCUAGCCCGGACCUUGUGUGCCUUUCCCCAAGGUUACCCUGGAGACUGCC